AUUGGACGCUGGCGGAAUGCUUUACACAUGCAAGUCGAACGGUAGAGGGGGCAACCCCUCGAGAGUGGCGAACGGGUGAGUAAUAUAUCGGAACGUGCCCAGUCGUGGGGGAUAACGUAGCGAAAGUUACGCUAAUACCGCAUACGAUCUAAGGAUGAAAGCGGGGGAUCGCAAGACCUCGCGCGAUUGGAGCGGCCGAUAUCAGAUUAGGUAGUUGGUUGGGUAAAGGCACACCAAGCCAACGAUCGGUAGCCGGUCUGAGAGGACGACCAGCCACCAUGGAACUGAGACACGGUCCAGACUCCUACGGGAGUCAGCAGUGGGGAAUUUUGGACAAUGGACGCAAGUCUGAUCCAGCCAUUCCGCGUGCAGGAUGAAGGCCCUCGGGUUGUAAACUGCUUUUGUACGGAACGAAAAGGUCUCUCUUAAUACGGGGGGCUCAUGACGGUACCGUAAGAAUAAGCACCGGCUAACUACGUGCCAGCCGCCGCCGUAA
rnacentral:rRNA from 1 species